UGCCCUAGUAACGGCGAGUGAAGCGGCAACAGCUCAAAUUUGAAAUCUGGCUCUCGGGCCCGAGUUGUAAUUUGUAGAGGAUACUUUUGAUGCGGUGCCUUCCGAGUUCCCUGGAACGGGACGCCAUAGAGGGUGAGAGCCCCGUCUGGUUGGAUGCCAAAUCUCUGUAAAGUUCCUUCAACGAGUCGAGUAGUUUGGGAAUGCUGCUCUAAAUGGGAGGUAUAUGUCUUCUAAAGCUAAAUACCGGCCAGAGACCGAUAGCGCACAAGUAGAGUGAUCGAAAGAUGAAAAGCACUUUGAAAAGAGAGUUAAAAAGUACGUGAAAUUGUUGAAAGGGAAGCGUUUAUGACCAGACUUGGGCUUGGUUAAUCAUCUGGGGUUCUCCCCAGUGCACUUUUCCAGUCCAGGCCAGCAUCAGUUUUCCCCGGGGGAUAAAGGCGGCGGGAAUGUGGCUCUCUUCGGGGAGUGUUAUAGCCCGUCGUGUAAUACCCUGGGGGGGACUGAGGUUCGCGCAUCUGCAAGGAUGCUGGCGUAAUGGUCAUCAACGACCCGUCUUGAAACACGGACCAAGGAGUCGUCUUCGUAUGCGAGUGUUCGGGUGUCAAACCCCUACGCGUAAUGAAAGUGAACGCAGGUGAGAGCUUCGGCGCAUCAUCGACCGAUCCUGAUGUUCUCGGAUGGAUUUGAGUAAGAGCAUACGGGGCCGGACCCGAAAGAAGGUGAACUAUGCCUGUAUAGGGUGAAGCCAGAGGAAACUCUGGUGGAGGCUCGCAGCGGUUCUGACGUGCAAAUCGAUCGUCAAAUA
rnacentral:rRNA from 1 species